ensembl:lncRNA
GUGCAAGGAAGGCUCGUGCAAGGGAAGUGCUUGUGUAAGGAGCGCUAGUUGAGAUGAUGUGCUCGUGCAAGAAGGGCUCGUGCAAGGAAGAUGCUCGUGUAAGGAGGGCUUGUGGGAAUGAUGUGCUCACGCGAGGAGCGCUUGUGCAAAGGAUGCUCGUGCAAGGAAAGUGCUUGUGUAAGGAGGGCUUGUGGAGAUGAUGCGCUCGUGCGAGGGGCGCUUGUGCAAAGGGGCGCUCGUGCAAAGGGGCACUUGUGCAAGGGCUGCUUGUGCAUUCACACGCUCUUGCCGAGGCCGUGGCAGCGCUCACCCCGCCUCCACCCUCUCAUUAAUCAACCCACUCUCGCUGCCUGCUAAUUAAGCUGGGCCGGCGCUAAUUGGCCACGCUGGGAGGCGGGGGACCCCGGGUUGUGCGCUGGGGCGCUGUGGGGUUGGGGGGAGGAUUCUCUGCUGUCUGCUAUGGGGUUGUGCUUGGUUUUUUUUUGGGGGGGGGUCAGAGGGCACUGAAGCACUGAGGCCCUUUCCUGCAGGAGGAGGGGAUUCUCUGCUGUCUGCUAUGGGAUGUCGCAGCUGUGCUUCCCCCGUGGGGGCCGGACCCUCUUGGGGGCAUGGAGGCUUCGUUUUUUGUUGGCCCCCCCCGGAUCCGUGCGUUCCGCCAGCUGCCAACCCAUCCGCAAAGUGCUGGUGGCCAACCGUGGUGAGUGGUUGGCUUCCGUGUCCCCUUUGUCCCCCCCUCCUCCGUCCCUCCAUUGUCCCCUGGGCUCCCUCAUCUCAGCUGGGUCCAUCAUCCCUUCCAUCCCUGGGUCCCUUUUUGUGCCAUCUCGUCCCCAUCCCAAGCACAGCAUCCCCGCUGCGUGUCCCUGUCCCCCUGUUCCGAUGUCCCCAUGUCUGCACAUCUCCAUCCCACAGACGGGGUGUCCCUCAGGCUUCCCCGUGUCCCCGUCCCCACGUCCAGGUCCCACAUGGGCUUUCUCAUGUCCCCACAUCCCCAUCCCAUGUGGGAUGUCCCAGUUCCGUCCCCAUCUCCCUGUCCCAGGGUGACCCAGAACUGUCCCCAUAUGGGAUGUCCCAGGACCAUCCCCAUAUCUGUCCCACGCAGGACAUCCCAGAGCUGUCCCUAUUUCCACAUCCCCACAUCCCCAUCCCAUGCAGGAUGUCCCACUUUCAUCCCCAUCUCCCUGUCCCAAUCAGGGCGACCCAGAGCUGUCCCCAUAUGGGAUGUCCCAGGACCAUCCCCAUCACCCUGUCCCAAGCAGGACAUCCCAAAGCUGUCCCUAUUUCCAUGUCCCAGUUCCAUCCCCAUCUCCCUGUCCCACGCAGGACAUCCCAGAGCUGUCCCUAUUUCCACAUCCCCACAUCCCCAUCCCAUAUGGGAUGUCCCAGUUCCAUCCCCAUCUCCUGUCCCAAGCAAGGUGACCCAGAACUGUCCCCAUAUGGGAUGUCCCAGGACCAUCCCCAUCUCCCUGUCCCAAGAGGACAUCCCAGAGCUGUCCCUAUUUCCAUGUUCCUACAUCCCCAUCCCAUGCAGGAUGUCCCAGUUCCGUCCCCAUCUCCCUGUCCCAAGAGGACAUCCCAGAGCUGUCCCUAUUUCCAUGUUCCUACAUCCCCAUCCCAUGCAGGAUGUCCCAGUUCCGUCCCCAUCUCCCUGUCCCAAGAGG